rnacentral:rRNA from 1 species
GACGAACGCUGGCGGCGUGCUUAACACAUGUAAGUCGAACGGAAAGGCCCUGCUUUUGUGGGGUGCUCGAGUGGCGAACGGGUGAGUAACACGUGAGUAACCUGCCCUUGACUUUGGGAUAACUUCAGGAAACUGGGGCUAAUACCGGAUAGGAGCUCCUGCUGCAUGGUGGGGGUCGGAAAGUUUCGGCGGUUGGGGAUGGACUCGCGGCUUAUCAGCUUGUUGGUGGGGUAGUGGCUUACCAAGGCUUUGACGGGUAGCCGGCCUGAGAGGGUGACCGGCCACAUUGGGACUGAGAUACGGCCCAGACUCCUACGGGAGGCAGCAGUGGGGAAUAUUGCACAAUGGGCGGAAGCCUGAUGCAGCAACGCCGCGUGCGGGAUGACGGCCUUCGGGUUGUAAACCGCUUUCGCCUGUGACGAAGCGUGAGUGACGGUAAUGGGUAAAGAAGCACCGGCUAACUACGUG